rnacentral:rRNA from 1 species
GACGAAGGGGGCUAGCGUUGUUCGGAAUUAUUGGGCGUAAAGGGCGCGUAGGCGGCCAUUCAAGUGACGGGUGAAAGCCCUCGGCUUAACCGAGGAACUGCCUGUCAGACUGGAUGGCUUGAGACCGGGAGAGGUGAGUGGAAUUCCCAGUGUAGCGGUGAAAUGCGUAGAUAUUGGGAGGAACACCAGUGGCGAAGGCGGCUCACUGGACCGGAACUGACGCUGAGGCGCGAAAGCGUGGGGAGCAAACAGG